rnacentral:lncRNA from 1 species
GAGAGAGAGAGAGAGAGAGAGAGAGAGAGAGAGAGAGAGAGAGAGAGAGAGAGAGAGAGAAAAGAAAUUUUCAUUCACUAUUCAUCUGCCCACUCUGGUAGAAAAAAGAAAUUUGGGGAAAUGAGUCUCCUUAGGGAGUUGAAUACUCUUAGAGUUCACGUGGGAAGGCGGACAGGACACAUCCCAGUGAGCUAGUGACUCCGGAUACCAGCUGUGAAAAAGGGUCUCAUCAUCCUAACAGAGGGGUGGGGACUUAGGUAAGUGCCUUUGAGGACAAGCCGAGGGGCAUGCUCUGCCACCUGGCCCUGGGUGCCAGAAGGUGAGCUUUGAAUUAGAGCUGGAUGCUGGAACAGGCUCUGACCCUUGGGCUCCAGGGAGCAGCCCUUUGUGAGACAGAAGAGAGAAUCCUGACUUGGAGCUCCAGUGUCUGGAUUCCCCACUUUCUGCAGCACUUUCUUUCUUGUGCAGCCUCAUUUCCACACGUGUCCCACUCCCUUUCACCCCGAGUUAACUAUUGGUUUUUCCCUGAGUUGGAGUAUUAGGAAGCCAUUCACCAGGCCAAAUGAAGCACCUAAAAAUAACUGCUCUAGGGUACCAAUACAGAGAAGUUGCC